rnacentral:tRNA from 1 species
UGGGUGUAGUUCAGUGGUAGAGUGCUUGCCUUGCAUGUGCAAGGACCUGGGUUUGAUCCCUAGCAUCACAG